AUGCCGGCUCUCUGUUUUUUGUUUAUUUUUUAUGCGGGUCUUCGCAACCACACACAUCUCUCAGCACUCUCAUCAACACACCACCUGCUUCACUCUCUCAGUACUCUCAUCAACACACCACCUGCUUCACUCUCUCAGUACUCUCAUCAACACACCACCUGCUUCACUCUCUCAGCACUCUCAUCAACACACCACCUGCUUCACUCUCUCAGCACUCUCAUCAACACACCACCUGCUUCACUCUCUCAGUACUCUCAUCAACACACCACCUGCUUCACUCUCUCAGCACUCUCAUCAACACACCACCUGCUUCACUCUCUCAGCACUCUCAUCAACACACAACCUGCUUCACUCUCUCAGUACUCUCAUCAACACACCACCUGCUUCACUCUCUCAGUACUCUCAUCAACACACCACCUGCUUCACUCUCUCAGCACUCUCAUCAACACACAACCUGCUUCACUCUCUCAGCACUCAUCAACACACCACCUGCUUCACUCUCUCAGUACUCUCAUCAACACACCACCUGCUUCACUCUCUCAGUACUCUCAUCAACACACCACCUGCUUCACUCUCUCAGUACUCUCAUCAACACACCACCUGCUUCACUCUCUCAGUACUCUCAUCAACACACCACCUGCUUCACUCUCUCAGCACUCUCAUCAACACACCACCUGCUUCACUCUCUCAGCACUCUCAUCAACACACAACCUGCUUCACUCUCUCAGCACUCUCAUCAACACACCACCUGCUUCACUCUCUCAGCACUCUCAUCAACACACAACCUGCUUCACUCUCUCAGCACUCUCAUCAACACACCACCUGCUUCACUCUCUCAGCACUCUCAUCAACACACCACCUGCUUCACUCUCUCAGCACUCAUCAACACACCACCUGCUUCACUCUCUCAGUACUCUCAUCAACACACCACCUGCUUCACUCUCUCAGUACUCUCAUCAACACACCACCUGCUUCACUCUCUCAGCACUCUCAUCAACACACCACCUGCUUCACUCUCUCAGCACUCAUCAACACACCACCUGCUUCACUCUCUCAGCACUCUCAUCAACACACCACCUGCUUCACUCUCUCAGCACUCUCAUCAACACACCACCUGCUUCACUCUCUCAGUACUCUCAUCAACACACCACCUGCUUCACUCUCUCAGCACUCUCAUCAACACACCACCUGCUUCACUCUCUCAGCACUCUCAUCAACACACCACCUGCUUCACUCUCUCAGCACUCUCAUCAACACACCACCUGCUUCACUCUCUCAGUACUCUCAUCAACACACCACCUGCUUCACUCUCUCAGUACUCUCAUCAACACACCACCUGCUUCACUCUCUCAGUACUCUCAUCAACACACCACCUGCUUCACUCUCUCAGUACUCUCAUCAACACACCACCUGCUUCACUCUCUCAGUACUCUCAUCAACACACCACCUGCUUCACUCUCUCAGCACUCUCAUCAACACACCACCUGCUUAACUCUCUCAGCACUCUCAUCAACACACCACCUGCUUCACUCUCUCAGUACUCUCAUCAACACACCACCUGCUUCACUCUCUCAGUACUCUCAUCAACACACCACCUGCUUCACUCUCUCAGUACUCUCAUCAACACACCACCUGCUUCACUCUCUCAGUACUCUCAUCAACACACCACCUGCUUCACUCUCUCAGUACUCUCAUCAACACACCACCUGCUUCACUCUCUCAGUACUCUCAUCAACACACCACCUGCUUCACUCUCUCAGUACUCUCAUCAACACACCACCUGCUUCACUCUCUCAGUACUCUCAUCAACACACCACCUGCUUCACUCUCUCAGUACUCUCAUCAACACACCACCUGCUUCACUCUCUCAGUACUCUCAUCAACACACCACCUGCUUCACUCUCUCAGUACUCUCAUCAACACACCACCUGCUUCACUCUCUCAGCACUCUCAUCAACACACCACCUGCUUCACUCUCAGUACUCUCAUCAACACACCACCUGCUUCACUCUCUCAGUACUCUCAUCAACACACCACCUGCUUCACUCUCUCAGUACUCUCAUCAACACACCACCUGCUUCACUCUCUCAGUACUAUCAUCAACACACCACCUGCUUCACACUCUCAGUACUCUCAUCAACACACCACCUGCUUCACACUCUCUCUCUGUACUAUCAUCAACACACCACCUGCUUCACGCUCUCUCUCAGUACUAUCAUCAACACACCACCUGCUUCACUCUAUCAACAACUAUAGAUUUUUGGGCUCAUGCAUUAUUUCCAAGCUGCUGAAAUAAAUAUACUAAAAUAUAUAUUUUUCAUAUCUUAAAAAAAAGAAACUGUUUUAGUGUGGGGGAAAAUAACCAGGUUCUAUUUUGUAUUAGUGUAUUUAAUAUCAGACAUUACUGUAGUGUGAUUGUGUAUAGGUAUCCACCCUCCGUUAUCUGAUUUGACAUUUUCUUGUGAGUGAAAUAUUGAGGACUCUUGCUGCUGAUUGGGUCUGAGAAGGAAAGAGGGCUGGCCCAGGGCUGUUGCUAUGGGAAUUGUCCCAGCAACCACUAGCCGUAGUGGAAACGGAACAAAAUGGAGGGUGGUUGGGACAGAGCGGACGUCGCUGCGUUCUGGUUUCAACUUUAAAACAUGAGCACAGGUGCUUCAUGACAAACCUUACUAGCAUGUUUGGCUGUAUCAUGUUUCUUUGGCACUGUAUUUUGAAUGACCGUUUUAAUUUAUUAAAAAAAACAUACCAAAACUACUCGUUGUUUUCACAUUUAUGGAAUGAAUGUGUUUUUGUUGAUUUUCAGUACACUUGAUUUGUCACAAUGUAUUUGUUUAUACGAGUCAACUCACAGUACAGCACAGCACAGUACAGUACAGUACAAUUCCUUACAAUUCCUUAUACCUUACCAGCAUUAGUUACUGAGCGUGUUGUUGAGUCGACGUUAAGUGUGUGGGUAAAACAGAAUUUGGUUUUAUGUUAAUAUAAAAUGUUUAGUUUGAUCGAGAUGGUGUCGGACAACCUAUAGACAGACCGGUUAUGCCUGCUGUCUGAACUUAUUUUUUUCCCUUCCCAUAAUUGUGUUGACACUGACAUUCACCCAGGCAGGUCUUGCAGGUUUUUGCUCAAACCCUAAUCUAGAGCACCUGAUUCUAAUUAGGAGGUUGACCGAUUAAACUGAAUGGCCGAUUAAUUAGGGCCGAGUUCAAGUUUUCAUAACAAUCGGAAAUCGGUAUUAUAAUUUUUUUACAUUUAUUUGUAAUUUUUUAAAUGCCUUUUUUAUUUAACUAGGCAAGUCAGUUAAGAACACAUUCUUAUGUUCAAUGACGGCCUAGGAACGGCGGGUUAACUGCCUUGUUCAGGGGCAGAAAGACAGAUUUUCACCUUGUCAGCUCGGGGUAACCAAUCUUGCAACCUUACGGUUAACAAAGUCCAACGCUCUGAUCCACCUGCCUCUCAUUGCACUCCACGAGGAGACUGCCUGUUAUGCGAAUGCAGUAGAAGCCAAGGUAAGUUGCCAGCAAGCAUUAAACUUAUCUUAUAUAAAUCAAUCAUAAUCACUAGUUAUAACUACACAUGGUUGAUGAUAUGACUUGUUUAUCUAGCGUGUCCUGCGUUGCAUGUAAUCGAUGCAACGCUGGGGCAUGAUUUAACAAAAGCGCAUUUCCGAAAAAAGCACAAUCGUUGCACGACAAACUGAAAAAUUGGUGAAGGUGGCGCUACAAAGUAUUAACUUAAGGGGGCUGAAUAAUUUUGCACGCCCAAUUUUUCAGUUUUUGAUUUGUUAAAAAAGUUUGAAAUAUCCAAUAAAUGUCGUUCCACUUCAUGAUUGUGUCCCACUUGUUGUUGAUUCUUCACAAAAAAAAUACAGUUUUAUAUCUUUAUGUUUGAAGCCUGAAAUGUGGCAAAAGGUCGCAAAGUUCAAGGGGGCCGAAUACUUUCGCAAGGCACUGUAUAUACAGUAUAUAUUUUAAAGUGGAUAAUCCUUCAAAUUAGUGGAUUCGGUUAAUUCAGCCACACACGUGACGGACAGGUUUAUGCAGUCGAGCACACCGCCAUGCAAUCUCUA
ensembl:lncRNA